rfam:Erinaceus europaeus unplaced genomic scaffold scaffold01559, whole genome shotgun sequence
UGGCGCCCAACGUGGGACCUUUUUGGGUCUGGGGUCCGAGAGAACGUCGCUCCCCGAUGGUCGACCAAGGAACAUAGGACCACCACUUCAGAGAAGGAGUGAGUGAAGGUUCACAUAGGAUCGCCGCUUUAGCCCAGAGUGAGUGAAGAUCCGCAUGGUGAUUGCUGCAGAUUUACCUGUCUGUGAGAUUGAUCCGUUUUAAGGUAAGAAAGAGCGACGCAAUUAUGGGACAAGCAUUGAGCAAACAUGAUUUAUUUCUUAGGGGCCUCAAAGAGUCCCUCAAGACACGAGGAACAAGGGUUAAGAAAAAGGAUCUCAAAAAGUUUUUCGAUUUUGUGAAUGAUGUUUGUCCGU